rnacentral:sRNA from 1 species
GCUGGGCAUGGUGGUGCACACCUGUAAUCCCAGACACUUGGAAAGCUGAGGCAGGAGGAUCGCAAAUUCAAGGUCAACCUGAGCAAUUUAGUGAGACUCUGUCUCAA